UAGUUACUCCCUCCGUCCGGAAAUACUUGUCGGAGAAAUGAAUGUAUCUAGACAUAAUUUAGUUUUAGACAGACCCAUUUCUAACCAUUUCUGCGAAAAGUAAUUCCGGACGGGGGGAGUACUUA
rfam:Triticum aestivum genome assembly, contig: Triticum_aestivum_CS42_TGACv1_scaffold_225211_3B